GACGAACGCUGGCGGCGUGCCUAAUACAUGCAAGUAGAACGCUGAAGGAGGAGCUUGCUCUUCUGGAUGAGUUGCGAACGGGUGAGUAACGCGUAGGUAACCUGCCUGGUAGCGGGGGAUAACUAUUGGAAACGAUAGCUAAUACCGCAUAAGAGUAGAUGUUGCAUGACAUUUGCUUAAAAGGUGCAAUUGCAUCACUACCAGAUGGACCUGCGUUGUAUUAGCUAGUUGGUGGGGUAACGGCUCACCAAGGCGACGAUACAUAGCCGACCUGAGAGGGUGAUCGGCCACACUGGGACUGAGACACGGCCCAGACUCCUACGGGAGGCAGCAGUAGGGAAUCUUCGGCAAUGGACGGAAGUCUGACCGAGCAACGCCGCGUGAGUGAAGAAGGUUUUCGGAUCGUAAAGCUCUGUUGUAAGAGAAGAACGAGUGUGAGAGUGGAAAGUUCACACUGUGACGGUAUCUUACCAGAAAGGGACGGCUAACUACGUA
rnacentral:rRNA from 1 species